AGAGAGAGAGACAGAGCAUGAGUGGGGGAGGGGCAGAGAGAGAGGAAGACAGAAUUCAAAGCAGGCUCCAGGCUCCGUGCUGUCAGCACAGAGCCCAAAGUGGGGCUCAGACCCACGAACUGUGAGAUCGUGACCUGAGCCGAAGUUGGACACUCAACCGACUGAGCCACCCACGUGCCCCAAGCCCCCCUCCUUUCUGGAGGGACACAAACUCAGGAUAGAUCUCACGUAGGUGUUAAACUCAGGCACCUCUUGGUAGUCUGUGGAAUUUGAAUGGCUGGUAGACAAGUUCAGCAGCUGCAGCCUGAGAAGGGCCUGGGACCAGUGGUGGUCCUGCCAUCAGGUAAGCCUCAGAUGCUCAGAAUCGCUAGGUGAGGGUGAAGGGAAAUAGACCGAGGUAAUGAUGAUAAGUUACCAACUUGGGGGGCAGGGGCUGUUUAUCCCACUGACCUUCCCCAAGCUUGCCACAGGGAAGGCUGGCCCACCAGAACCUGGGAGGGGCGGCCUAGAGGAGUCACAUGAAGAUUUCUCCGAAGCUGACAGUGUCGCAUCACUUGGAUACCCCUUCAGAACCCGAGGACUUGGUCCCCGAGUUGCCAGCGGAGGGCCACGUCCAUCAGCUGAAGAGCGCUCCCUUUCCCAGGUGGCCCAGUGCCUGGAGAGGCAGGCAUAUCCGGGCCCCGAGCCCUGGACAGCUUUGAAGGGGUCCGCCAAGACCUCCCUCUAGGCGGUACGUAGCCAACUUCUCCCCCCGCCUCCCCUCCCCAGGUCUUGGUCCCAAGGGCACCCCUCAUAAACUUUUCCUUACGCUGAUCCCCGGGUCACAGUUUACUUCCUGGGAAAACACUUCUGACAACCAUGACAGAAACUUUGGAUUUUUUUUUUCUGAGGUGGGAUUUAUUUGGAGAGUUUUUUUCACAGGGACGUACCUUAAACUGACUUACCCGUUUAAAUGGUUGAUUUGCAUUCCAUGUCAAAAACUCACCAUAGUGGGCAGAAGUAUAAACAGACCAGGUAGGAGGCUACUGCCCCGGUCCAGGUAAGGAAUGGAAAGACUGGCACAGGGGGUGGGGGUGGGAGUGGUGGGAAGUCACAGGAUUCAAGACAGAUUUUACUUUAUUUAUUUUCAUUUUAUUUUAGGGAGAGGGGCAGAGGGAAAGAGCAUCUUAAGCAGGCUCCACACUCAGCACGGAGCCUGAGAUGGGGCUUGAUCCCACAACCUUGGGAUCAUGACCUGAGCUGAAAUCAAGAGUCAGACACUCAACCCAGCUGAGCCACCCACGCGCCCCUGAGACAGAUUUUAAACGUAGAGCAGACUGACUCAGGCUGUUCUCCUCCUGCCAGACGCCAAAGAGCUUCUCCCCCAUAAUGGGCCACUAAGGCAGACUUUUCAGCUCUGCGGACCCCGUUGUUCUAUGCCCGGAGCUCGGAAUGGCAGGAGAAAGGAGUGUGGCAGGUGUGGCCUGGUGUCCCCAGUCCCGUGGGCAUGUGCUGAAGGUUGGCUCCCUCACCUGCUUCCCUCUUCUACCCCCAAGAGCCCUGUUCUAGAGGAAAGAGUAACAUCUAGAAAGCACAUCAGGUGUAACGGUCCCUUACAUUGAUGGCACUUUCCAUAUUACAAAAUGCAUUUAUAUUUGUUGCUCUGCGGGCAUCACAAACCAUACCAAUGGGCAAUUUCAUAGGUGGGGAACCAGGGACUUGGUGCAAAUGAGAAAUAGAACGUAUGGGGUCGUGAGAAAACACGUGCAGUGGGUUAUAGGGAACGCUGUGGUUUCUGCUCUGUGGGCAAGUGCCUGUGGUCAGGGUCUGAGAGCAUCAGGGGAUUUGUUGUAAUGGUUAGGUCGUGGCUGACUGCCCUCUUCCCUCUAAAUAUUCUCUUGAUGCCAUGUCACUGAAUCAAUUUGAAAAGAAGUAAAGCAUUUCUGUCCAAUGGGACUAAGCCAACAAGGAACUGAAUUGCCGAAACCGUUUGGCAGAAGACACACGUUGCAUUGAAGCAGCAGCCGCUUCUGGUGACAAAUAUACCUCGAAACCUUGGCAAACCAUCUGUUGAAUUUAAGAGAGGGUUUACUGCAUUGUGAUUACCUGUGUAUAUCCUGAGAUCUGUGUCUAAUAUUUACCAGAGAGGAACGCAUGGUGAAUUAUUUCUGACUUCUGACACAUAAUGAAUUUCCAUAUGCUCUUCCCAGAUUGAAGCAUUGUCCUCUCGGCAACCUUGGCAUAGGCCAAGAAUCUGAGGUUUAUGAGAUGCUACGGAGAAGCAGGAGCUAGAAAAAUAGUCCACCCCAUUCCAAGCUUCUGCAGAAAAUCCUGGAGUCUGAGGAGAAAGGUGACCCGUCUUGCAUGCCGUCGGAGGCUGUUGGUCAAGGCCGGGCGUGUGGAUCAGUCAUUGCUGAAAGACAGGUGCGCAGAGCCUAGCGGCGGGAAGAAAGAGCACAGUGUGGGCCAUUAAACACCGAUAAUAAAAUAAUCUAACUAUGCCUUCGUGCCUUGGUCUGUGUUACAGAAGCUGCAGAUCUGGCUGUUUCCUGUCCCGUGUGCACCGUAUGGCUGAGGGCUGGGUCAAAAUCCACUGAAGAUAAAAAAGUAUCCCAAAGGUUGAAGAUUUAGUGCAUGUUUGAUGAUCAGCUGGAACUUAGUAUUUAUAAAACCUUUGGAUUCCAAGCUUCCAACUGCAUUUACGCAAGGUACAACAAUGGAUCUUUUCAUAAUUCUGGUGAUUUAUCUUUCUUGUUUGAUUCUUUAUUUUCUCUGGAAUCGAAACUGUGCCAAAGGGAAGCUCCCACCUGGCCCCACUCCUCUGCCAAUCGUUGGAAAUAUUUUGCAGAUAAAUACUAAUAAUGUAAGCAAAUCCAUAAGCAAGCUAGCAGAGAGUUACGGCCCUGUGUUCACUGUGUACUUUGGCAUCAAGCCCACUGUGGUGAUAUACGGAUAUGAAGCAGUAAAGGAAGCUCUAAUUGAUCAGAGUGAGGUGUUUUCUGGCAGAGGCCCUUUCCCAGUGCUGGACAAAUCCAUCCAGGGAUUAGGAAUUAUUUUCAGCAACGGAGAGCAGUGGAAGCAAGUUCGGCGUUUCUCCCUCAUGGUUUUGCGGAAUAUGGGCAUGGGGAAGAAGAGUAUUGAAGACAGAAUUCAAGAGGAGGCCUUGUAUCUGGUGGAAGCAUUAACAAACACCAAUGCAUCUCCCUGUGAUCCUACUUUCCUUCUGGACUGUGCUUCCUGCAAUGUGAUCUGCUCCGUUGUUUUCCAGAAUCGUUUUGAGUAUGAUGAUAAGAAAUUUUCAAUCUUGAUAAAUUAUUUUCAUGAAAACCUCCUAAUUUCAAGCAACUCCUGGAUACAGCUCUGCAAUGCUUUUCCUCUUUUAAUACACUUUCCAGGAUGUCACAAUGUGUUACUUAAAAACAUUGCUAACCAAUGUAGGUUUAUUGUGGAAAAAAUAAAAGAACACCAAGAAUCCCUGGACCUCAGUAACCCUCGAGACUUUAUUGACUACUUCCUGAUCAAAAUAGAAAAGGAAAAACACAAUAAACAGUCUGAAUUUACCAUGGACAACUUGAUCGUUACUGUCUGGGAUGUGAUUAGUGCAGGAACAGAGACAACGAGCACCACCCUGAGGUAUGGACUCCUGCUCCUGCUGAAGCACCCAGAGGUCACAGCUAAAGUCCAGGAAGAGAUUGACCGUGUGGUUGGCAGACACCGGAGCCCCUGCAUGCAGGACAGGAGCCACAUGCCUUACACAGAUGCUGUGGUACAUGAGAUCCAGAGAUUCAUUGACCUCGUCCCCAACAGUCUGCCCCAUGCAGUGACUCAGGACACUAAGUUCAGAGAAUACCUCAUUCCUAAGGGCACAACCAUAUUAACAUCUCUGACUUCUGUCCUGCAUGAUGAGAAAGAGUUUCCCAACCCAGAUCAGUUUGAUCCUGGCCACUUCCUGGAUGAAAGUGGCAACUUUAAGAAGAGUGACUACUUCCUGGCUUUUUCAGCAGUCCAGCUAAGAGGACCUUGAGGGGGACAGGAAAUUCUUGCUCCCCAACAGACAAUUGGUGUGUCAGCAGGACACCUUAACUCGCUGGACACUGCUCACCCCACACACUAUGAUAGCCAAAAGUCCCUGAGGACAGCUGGCACAAGGAAAGAGAGUUUGUAUUGGAGAAGGCCUGGCCCGCAUGGAGCUGUUUUUACUACUGACCAACAUUUUACAGCAUUUUACGUUGAAAUCUGUGGUUGAUCCAAAGGACCUUGAA